AGCGAACGCUGGCGGCAGGCUUAACACAUGCAAGUCGAGCGCCCGUAGCAAUACGGGAGCGGCAGACGGGUGAGUAACACGUGGGAACGUGCCUUUUGGUUCGGAACAACUGAGGGAAACUUCAGCUAAUACCGGAUAAGCCCUUACGGGGAAAGAUUUAUCGCCAAAAGAUCGGCCCGCGUCUGAUUAGCUAGUUGGUGGGGUAAUGGCCCACCAAGGCUACGAUCAGUAGCUGGCUGAGAGGAUGAUCAGCCACACUGGGACUGAGACACGGCCCAGACUCCUACGGGAGGCAGCAGUGGGGAAUCUUGGACAAUGGGCGCAAGCCUGAUCCAGCCAUGCCGCGUGAGUGAUGAAGGCCUUAGGGUUGUAAAGCUCUUUCAGCGGGAAGAUAAUGACGGUACCCGCAGAAGAA
rnacentral:rRNA from 1 species